GGCCUAUUAGCUCAGUUAGUUAGAGCGUCGUGCUAAUAACGCAAAGGUCGCAGGUUCGAGACCUGCAUGGGCUA
rnacentral:tRNA from 1 species